GAUGAACGCUGACAGAAUGCUUAACACAUGCAAGUCGAUUCAAGUUACCUUCGGGUAAUGAGGAUGGCGGACGGGUGAGUAACGCGUAAGGAACUUGCCUCUUGGUCUGGGACAACUGUUGGAAACGACAGCUAAUACCGGAUAUUAUGAGAUUCUCGCAUGGGAAACUUAUGAAAGCUAUAUGCGCCAAGAGAGAGCCUUGCGUUCCAUUAGCUAGUUGGUGGGGUAACGGCCCACCAAGGCGACGAUGGAUAGCCGGCCUGAGAGGGUGAACGGCCACAAGGGGACUGAGACACGGCCCUUACUCCUACGGGAGGCAGCAGUGGGGAAUAUUGGACAAUGGGCCACAAGCCUGAUCCAGCAAUUCUGUGUGCACGAUGAAGGUCUUCGGAUUGUAAAGUGCUUUCAGUUGGGAAGAAGAAAGUGACGGUACCAACAGAAGAAGCGACGGCUAAAUACGUGCCAGCAGCCGCGGUAAUACGUAUGUCGCAAGCGUUAUCCGGAUUUAUUGNGCGUAAAGCGCGUCUAGGCGGAAAAAUAAGUCUGAUGUUAAAAUGCGGGGCUCAACUCCGUAUUGCGUUGGAAACUGUUUUUCUAGAGUACUGGAGAGGUGGGCGGAACUACAAGUGUAGAGGUGAAAUUCGUAGAUAUUUGUAGGAAUGCCGAUGGAGAAGUCAGCUCACUGGACAGANACUGACGCUGAAGCGCGAAAGCGUGGGGAGCAAACAGGANUAGAUACCCUGGUAGUCCACG
rnacentral:rRNA from 1 species